rnacentral:rRNA from 1 species
CAUGCAGGUCGAGGGGCAGCAUUUUAGUUUGCUUGCAAACUAAAGAUGGCGACCGGCNCACGGGCUGAGUAACACGCUAUCCAACCUGCCGAUAACUCGGGGAUAGCCUUUCGAAAGAAAGAUUAAUAUCCGAUAGUAUAUUAAAACCGCAUGGUUUUACUAUUAAAGAAUUUCGGUUAUCGAUGGGGAUGCGUUCCAUUAGUUUGUUGGCGGGGUAACGGCCCACCAAGACUACGAUGGAUAGGGGUUCUGAGAGGAAGGUCCCCCACAUUGGAACUGAGACACGGUCCAAACUCAUACGGGAGGCAGCAGUGAGGAAUAUUGGUCAAUGGACGAGAGUCUGAACCAGCCAAGUAGCGUGAAGGAUGACUGCCCCUAUGGGUUGUAAACUUCUUUUAUAUGGGAAUAAAGUAUUCCACGUGUGGGGAUUUUGUAUGUACCAUAUGAAUAAGGAUCGGCUAACUCCGUGCCAGCAGCCCGCGGUAAUACGGAGGAUCCGAGCGUUAUCCNGGAUUUAAUGGGUUUAAAGGGAGCGUAGGUGGAUUGUUAAGUCAGUUGUGAAAGUUUGCGGCUCAACCGUAAAAUUGCAGUUGAAACUGGCAGUCUUGAGUACAGUAGAGGUGGGCGGAAUUCGUGGUGUAGCGGUGAAAUGCUUAGAUAUCACGAAGAACUCCGAUUGCGAAGGCAGCUCACUAGACUGCAACUGACACUGAUGCUCGAAAGUGUGGGUAUCAAACAGGAUUAGAUACCCUGGUAGUCCACACAGUAAACGAUGAAUACUCGCUGUUUGCGAUAUACAGUAAGCGGCCAAGCGAAAGCAUUAAGUAUUCCACCUGGGGAGUACGCCGGCAACGGUGAAACUCAAAGGAAUUGACGGGGGCCCGCACAAGCGGAGGAACAUGUGGUUUUAAUUCGAUGAUACGCGAGGAACCUUACCCGGGCUUAAAUUGCAUUUGAAUAAUCUGGAAACAGGUUAGCCGCAAGGCAAAUGUGAAGGUGCUGCAUGGUUGUCGUCACCUCGUGCCGUGAGGUGGCGGCUUAAGUGCCAUAACGAGCGCAACCCUUAUCUUUAGUUACUAACAGGUCAUGCUGAGGACUCUAGAGAGACUGCCGUCGUAAGAUGUGAGGAAGGUGGGGAUGACGUCAAAUCAGCACGGCCCUUACGUCCGGGGCUACACACGUGUUACAAUGGGGGGUACAGAAGGCAGCUACCUGGCGACAGGAUGCUAAUCCCAAAAACCUCUCUCAGUUCGGAUCGAAGUCUGCAACCCGACUUCGUGAAGCUGGAUUCGCUAGUAAUCGCGCAUCAGCCAUGGCGCGGUGAAUACGUUCCCGGGCCUUGUUCUAAANGGCCCGUCAAGCCAUGAAAGCCGGGGGUACCUGAAGUACGUACCGCAA